AUUGAACGCUGGCGGCAGGCCUAACACAUGCAAGUCGAGCGGAUGGCCGGACGGGUAAGUAAUGCCUAGGAAUCUGCCAGGGAGUGGGGGAUAACGUCCGGAACCGGGCGCUAAAACCGAUUACUAUCAGAGUAGCCUAGGCCGGAUUAGCUAUUUGGUGGGGUAAAGGCAUACCCAGGCGACGACCCGGAACUGUUCUGAGAGGAUGAUCAGUCACACUGGAACUGAGACACGUUCCAGACUCCUACGGGAGGCAGCAGUGGGGAAUAUUGGACAAUGGGCGAAAGCCUGAUCCAGCCAUGCCGCGUGUGUGAAGAAGGUCUUCGGAUUGUAAAGCACUUUAAGUUGGGAGGCGUUACCAACAGAAUAAGCACCGGCUAACUUCGUGCCAGCAGCCGCGGUAAUUC
rnacentral:rRNA from 1 species